rnacentral:rRNA from 1 species
ACGUCUAGCCACACCCUGAACGCACCCGAUCUCGUCUGAUCUUGGAAGCUAAGCAUGAUGGGGCCUGGUUAGCACUUGGAUGGGAGACCACCUAGGAAGACCAGGUGCUGUAGGUG